ACAGUCGCCAGAUCCAGUUCCAAGUGCCGAACCGAACGCGGAGCCAGGAGAUGCAGUCUCACUCUGUGGCCCAGGCUGGAGUGCAGUGGCGUGAUCUUGGCUCACUGCAACCUCCAUCUCCUGAGUUCAAGCAAUUCUCCUGUCUCAGCCUCCUAAAUAGUUGGAAUUACAGGCAAGCACCACCACGCUCAGCUACAGGAAUUUAGCCAAUUCAGAGGAAAUCUUCCCCAUAAUUAUGGAACUUUCUUACAGAUUUUACCAAGUCUGGUCAACCCAAUAAGAAAAAGACUGAAAUAACAACAACAACUUCAACAAAUAAAAAAAAACAGUUAAGCUAAAUAAACAGAUGAUUGCAGAAUUUAUGUGAUUACUGGGUACUCUAAUGGUAAGGAGAAAUUAAGACCAGCUAGUUGUUAAUCUUAACUUUUAGUCAUUAAGGAGAAUUUCCAAGACAAAACUGCAAUCCAGCUGCUUACCUAGGAAUACGGCUUAGGCUGAAAACUUCUAUCGUCUUAGAAAUGGGAAUAAACCUCACACUCACCGUCCCUGUUGGAAGCAAGCUGAAACUCCAAAAAAAAAGUUGCCUGUUGUCCAUCAUCAUGGUGAAGCGGCGUCGUUGUCUGGGUUCUGAAGGCUGGGAAGUCCAAGAUUAAGGCGUCAACAGGUCUUGUGUCUGCUGAGGGCUGUCUCCCUGAUUUGCAGAUGUCUGCUUUCUUGCUGUGUCCUCACAUGGGAAAAAGAGAGAGAAUUUGCUGGUAUUCCUUUUUAUAAGGACACUAACCCCAUUCAUGAGGGUCCCACCCUCAUGACCUCGCCUAAACCUAUAACCUCCAAGGACUCCAUUUCCAAAUACCAGCAACCACAUGUGUGAGCUUAGAAGAGGAUCCUUCCCCAGGUGAGCCUUGAGAUGACCCUGGCCUGUGACUUGAUGGCAGCUUUUGAGAGACUGAGCCAGAGGCCUCCAGUCUCCCUCUCCCUCUCUUUCCACGGUCUCCCUCUGAUGCCGAGCCGAAGCUGGACUGUACUGCUGCCAUCUCCGCUCACUGCAACCUCCCUGCCUGAUUCUCCUGCCUCAGCCUGCCAAGUGCCUGCGAAAAUUGCAGGCGUGCGCCGCCACGCCUGACUGGUUUUCGUAUUUUUUUGGUGGAGACGGGGUUUGGCUGUGUUGGCCGGGCUGGUCUCCAGCUCCUAACCGCAAGUGAUCCGCCAGCCUCGGCCUCCCGAGGUGCCGGGAUUGCAGACCGAGUCUCGUUCACUCAGUGCUCAAUGGUGCCCAGGCUGGAGUGCAGUGGCGUGAUCUGGGCUCGCUACAACCACCUCCCAGCUGCCUGCCUUGGCCUCCCAAAGAGCCGAGAUUGCAGCCUCUGCCAGGCCGCCACCCUGUCUGGGAAGUGAGGAGCGUCUCUGCCUGGCCACCCAUCGUCUGGGAUGUGAGGAGCCCCUCUGCCUGGCUGCCCAGUCUGGAAAGUGAGGAGCAUCUCUUCCCGGCCGCCAUCCCAUCUAGGAAGUGAGGAGCGUCUCUGCCCGGCCGCCCAUCGUCUGAGAUGUGGGGAGCGCCUCUGCCCUGCCGCCCCGUCUGGGAUGUGAGGGGUGCCUCUGCCCG
ensembl:lncRNA LINC00621 long intergenic non-protein coding RNA 621